rnacentral:rRNA from 1 species
GACGAACGCUGGCGGCGUGCUUAACACAUGCAAGUCGAACGGAAAGGCCCUGCUUUUGUGGGGUGCUCGAGUGGCGAACGGGUGAGUAACACGUGAGUAACCUGCCCUUGACUUUGGGAUAACUUCAGGAAACUGGGGCUAAUACCGGAUAGGAGCUCCUGCUGCAUGGUGGGGGUUGGAAAGUUUCGGCGGUUGGGGAUGGACUCGCGGCUUAUCAGCUUGUUGGUGGGGUAGUGGCUUACCAAGGCUUUGACGGGUAGCCGGCCUGGGAGGUGGGACGGCCACAAGGCGCCUGAGAGACGGAGCAGACGGCUACGGGAGGCAGCAGGGGGGAAUAUGGCACAAUGGGCGGAAGCCUGAUGCAGAAACGCCGCGUGCGGGAUGCCGGGCUUCGGGUUGUAAACCGCUGUGGCCUGUGACGAAGCGGGAGUGACGGUAAUGGGUAAAGAAGCACCGGCUAACUACGUG